UCCGAGGCGGCGGCGCGGGUGCCACCCGCUGGGGCUCCGCUCCCCCUGCGCGAGCCCGCGCGUCCUUCCCGGCGAGGUCUCUCCGCGGCGCGGCCAGACCCAGUGCGAUUUUGACAGCAGUCAUCAUACCAAGCUAUUAUGAAGUGUGAUGUCAGUCUGGAGGACGGAUAAUAUAUAAGCCAGUUCUUGACACGCUAUCUUACAAGGAAACAUCUGAGACCAUCAGUCCACUUCACUUUGCCAUUGAACAUGAGCCCUAUAGGCAUAUAAUACAUAAUUGUUGAAAUGUAACUAAAAUGUGGAAAAUAUAUCUUCUUCUGGCUCAAGGAAUAUUAUUAUAAAAGAGUUAAAAACUGACCUUUCAUUUAUACAAACGGAAAAUUGUAUUGACUUCUCUCAAGUAGUAAGGUUGUAUCUCUUUUCCCUGACCCACUAUUUGCCUGCCCUCACUGAAGCGCCCUGGGCUUCUAAUGUGAGGAAAAACACGGAAUGACAAGUGUGGGAAAGAGCAAGCACUAAAUUACUGUCAGAAAAAUAAACGGAGUAGCACAGUGGUGCUCGGUGAUUUACGGGGGCAAUUAGUCACCACCCCACGGCGCUGCUGAGGACAGCAUGGCAGCAGACUCACCAGGCCCGAGAGGAAGAAGAGGCUUUGCACUGCUCUCCAGACAACUUUUCAAACAACAAGAGAGGAUAUUUGAGCACAUUAGGUUCCAUGUCUUCCUUCUGGGUGCCCACCCUUCACAUUAUUCAACCAACCUAAUACAUAAACAUAUUUUUAACACAAUAUUAACCUGUUCUGUGUGUGUUAAAAAGACCAACUGCAGCUUUUUUCUCUCCCACUGUCCAAAGUAGGUGUUUUCCUAUCCCGUAAAAAGCAAAACAAACGAACAAAAAAACCCUUUCCCCACUCACAAAUUGUCCCCCUGAUGUGUGCCUUCGGUCUGUCUCAUUACUUUUGCAUCUUGCUACUAUGUUCUAUAUUUGCUCAGAGCCACUGGGUGCUAAGGAAUUUGGUCUGCCGCUCCCCCAGGGAAGUUUGGUGAGCUGGUACAAGGAGGUGAUAAACAAGGCCAUUAAACACAGGGUAAAUGAAAAAGAUACAUAAACUUCCUGAUAUUUCUUUUUUUUUUUUAAACAUCUUUAUUGGAGUAUAAUUGCAUUACAAUGUUGUGUUAGUUUCUGCUGUAUAACAAAGUGAAUCAGUUAUACAUAUACAUAUAUCCCCAUAUCUCCUCCCUCUUGCGUCUCCCUCCCACCCUCCCUAUCCCACCCCUCUAGGUGGUCGCAAAGCACCGAGCUGAUCUCCCUGUGUUAUGCAGCUGCUUCCCACUAGCUAGCUAUUUUACAUUUGGUAGUGUAUAUAUACCCAUGCCACUCUCUCACUUUGUCCCAGCUUAUCCUUCCCCCUCCCCAUGUCCUCCUGAUAUUUCUUAACAUGUUCUGUAACAUACUGUAUGUAGUGCCUAUGUAUAUGUGCACAACAAAAUAAGCCUGGUAAAAUAUAAUUAAUUGGUGUGCAUGCUUUAAUAGGAAUUCUUCUCCAUCAGAAGAAACCUAGAAUGGAAGGCCAGAAAGAACCCAGGAGAGACGAAGACUUUAUUGACUAAAUGCCAUGUCUGUGUAGGGGCAACAGCAAGGCUGUUGAGGUGAACAAAUGAAGCUUCAUCAGGGACUUAGUGUCCUUCUGUAGUAUUACCUAAGAAUGUUGCCAUCUUAUAUUUCUGAAGCACUUUAUAGUUUACAAAGGACGUUUGGAAUUCCUUUUCUCAUUUGAUCUUGCCUUGGCUUUAGUCAAGGAUGCCUGCUCAGUUAGAAACGUGUUCAGUGAGUAUGUACACAGCUGGAGAAUGUGACCCAACACAUGCCACCUUGGCCUGUAAGCUGGAGUUUUAAAGAGGCAGAAUCAUAUUGAUGAGCUGGUGCCGGGAUUAUGCACCAUUCAGCUGGACAUUAAUUUCUGAUAGGGUCAUAACUGGGAAAAACUGCAGAUUUUACUGGCUACUCUUUUUUAUGUUAUUAGGGGGUUUUUCCCUCUUGAAUUUUAUAAGCACAAUGUGUCUUUUAAAACAAUUAAAAAAUAAUAUAGAGCCCUGGGAUUUGAUGUAAAAUUGCAUAUUUGUGACUGCAGUGGCCCUGGUUUUCAACUACCCUGUAACACGGAAAGCAAACCCAACUGGAAAGCAGGCAGAGGUGUUUCUCUGCCACAUCGCAGGCAUAUGAAAUGAGGUUCUUAAUUGAAUACCAGAAAUGAUAUAACUUGGAAAUUUAACCAAAGAUAUUUUCCAUCAGUGAGACCAUUUUAAAACACUUUAUUCAUUUUUCAGAUCUCUUUCUUCCUUUCCCCAAUGUCACAUUUAUAGUCUGGUAGAGGGGCACAAUUGGAAAAUUAUCUAUAUAUAAACAAAUGAAAUUUAAGAUAUAAAAAUUCUGCAAUUCUGAUAAAUUUUAUGUUCACUCUUUCCUUGAUCUAAAUAGAGUAUUCUAAAAAUAUUACGCAUAUAGGAGACACAUUUUUUUUUUAACAUCUUUAUUGGAGUAUAAUUGCUUUACCAUGGUGGGGGACACAUUUUUAUAUACAUGUUAUUUUUUUUUUUUUAAAUCUUCUAUUUAUUAUUUAUUUUUGACUGUGUUGGGUCUCCGCUUCUGUGCGAGGGCCUUCUCCAGUUGUGGCAAGCGGGGGCCACUCUUCAUCACGGUGCGCGGGCCUCUCACUGUCGUGGCCUCUCUUGUUGCGGAGCACAGGCUCCAGACGCGCAGGCUCAGCAGUUGUGGCUCACGGGCCUAGCUGCUCCGCGGCAUGUGGGAUCCUCCCAGACCAGGGCUCGAACCCGCGUCCCCUGCAUUAGCAGGCAGACUCUCAACCACUGCGCCACCAGGGAAGCCCUAUACAUGUUAUUUUUGUUUAGAAAUUGUGAGCUAGUGAAAAGUGAAAAUGACCUUGACUAUUGUACUUAUUUAUUGAUAGAAAUAAUAGCCUUUCAAUAUCUGGAUUCAAAUAGCUUCUCUACUAAUCACACAACUUUCAUAAAUUUCAAAACAAGGAUUUGGAUUGAAUGAAAACAGGAAGCUGGUGCUUCCUAUGUGCCCCCUGUAUUUGUGUUCAUAUGGAAUAUUUACGCAAUAUUCUGACUUGGCUUUAAUCUAUAAUUCCUGGCUAUUUCAGUUGCACUAUAAUUUUUAGAUUAAUCGUUAUGAUUUUGGUAAGGUAUACAUGAAAAGUUUUAUGUUCAUGCUUGAAAGGAGGAUCAUUAAACAUUCAUUACCACUCAAAUUAGUUGUCAUGUGCUAUAUAACAGUAACCCAAUAUCAUCUCACUAAUUUAGGUUCAGCAGCAAGUGAACAGCAAUAUAUAGCUCAUAUCAGUAGAGUAAUUUUUGUUGGGGAACAGAGAGAGAUGAUUUUAAAACCCAUUUGACAUAUUUAUGUUGACAAAUUAUUUAAAGAAAUUACUGCUUUGUCAAUAAACAUGUUUGUAUAUUGGAAUAGGAUUGUGUUUGGAUUUACUUCUAGCUGUUUAAUUAUUCUAUGAUUGUGAAAAACAGUGCUUAUUCAUAUGGUUAUGAGUAAAAAAAUAGAAAAUACAAAGGUUGAGAUGUUUUAAUCUUUUGCAGACACCUAACCUUGCCAAGAAAAAGCACUUUUCAUUUUUGUGAGCAGGCAUUGAAAUCUUGCUUUUUCAAUGAAGCUAGAUUGUAUAAUUUGUUAGUUUUCCCCAUAUGGUAACAAAUUAUCCUUAAGGAAAAAAAAAGCAAAAAGUAAAAGAAGAAAUGGAUUUUUAUAAAUUUUGUGGGUGAACAUAUAUAGAGAUGUCUCUUCGACUCAUUUA